rnacentral:rRNA from 1 species
AGAGUUUGAUCCUGGCUCAGGAUUAACGCUGGCGGCAUGCCUAAGACAUGCAAGUCGAACGGAGCGCCCCAUUGAAACUGGAAUGAAGUUGAAGAGCUUGCUCAGAUAUGGAAUGAAAGUCGAUUUGGAUUCUGCGCUCAGUGGCGCACGGGUGAGUAACACGUGGGUUAUCUGCCUUUAAGCUGGGGAUAACAGUUAGAAAUGACUGCUAAUACCGAAUGUGCUAGUAAUAGUAAAGAAGCCCUUAAAGCUUCACUUAAAGAUGAGCCUGCGGCGUAUUAGCUUGUUGGUGGGGUAAUGGCCUACCAAGGCAACGAUGCGUAGCCGAACUGAGAGGUUGAUCGGCCACACUGGGACUGAGACACGGCCCAGACUCCUACGGGAGACAGCAGUUAGGAAUAUUCGGCAAUGGGCGAAAGCCUGACCGAGCAAUGCCGCGUGUGAGAUGAAGGUCCUUUGGAUUGUAAAUCACUUUUAUUUGGGAAGAACUGUAAGUAUAGGAAAUGAUGCUUACUUGACGGUACCUUUUGAAUAAGCCCCGGCUAACUACGUGCCAGCAGCCGCGGUAAUACGUAGGGGGCGAGCGUUAUCCGGAUUUAUUGGGCGUAAAGCGUGUGUAGGCGGUUUGUUAAGUCUGAGAUGAAAGGCUAUGGCUCAACCAUAGUUUGUUUCAGAAACUGGCAGACUAGAGUGCAGUAGAGGCAAAUGGAAUUCAUAGUGUAGCGGUGGAAUGCGUAGAUAUUAUGAGGAACAUCAGUGGCGAAGGCGAUUUGCUGGGCUGUUACUGACGCUGAGACACGAAAGCGUGGGGAGCAAAUAGGAUUAGAUACCCUAGUAGUCCACGCUGUAAAC